UAGGGAAUAUUGGGCAAUGGAGGGAACUCUGACCCAGCCAUGCCGCGUGCAGGAUGAGGGCGUUAUGCGUUGUAAACUGCUUUUUAUAUAGGAAGAAAUAGUCCUUGCGAGGAAAGUUGACGGUACUAUAUGAAUAAGCACUGGCUAACUCCGUGCCAGCAGCCGCGGUAAUACGGAGGGUGCAAGCGUUGUCCGGAUUUAUUGGGUUUAAAGGGUGCGUAGGCGGUUUAUUAAGUCAGUGGUGAAAGACGGUCGCUCAACGAUUGCAGUGCCAUUGAUACUGGUAGACUUGAGUAUGAUUGAGGUAGCUGGAAUGGAUAGUGUAGCGGUGAAAUGCAUAGAUAUUAUCCAGAACACCAAUUGCGUAGGCAAGUUACUAAGUCAUAACUGACGCUGAGGCACGAAAGUGUGGGUAUCAAACAGGAUUAGAUACCCCCGUAGUCCCUGAGCGGGCUGGCAAGGCGCAU
rnacentral:rRNA from 1 species